CUACAAUGGACGGUACAACGAGAAGCGAACCUGCGAAGGCAAGCGGAUCUCUUAAAGCCGUUCUCAGUUCGGACUGUAGGCUGCAACUCGCCUACACGAAGCUGGAAUCGCUAGUAAUCGCGGAUCAGCACGCCGCGGUGAAUACGUUCCCGGGGCCUUGUACACACCGCCCGUCAAGCCAUGGGAGCCGGGGGGUACCUGAAGUGCGUGACCGCAAGGAGCGCCCUAAGGUAAAACCGGUGACUGGGGCUAAGUCGUAACAAGGUAAC
rnacentral:rRNA from 1 species